rnacentral:lncRNA from 1 species
UGAGGACCCGUUAAGUCUAAGUCUCUCUGUACCAGGAGUUUGCUUUCCAUGGCAUUAUCAGUCAUGCUUGGUAAACUCUGGUUAAGGGCACCAAGGAAGGCCAUCAUUCAAGCUACUGACUCACCCUACCCCCAGCUUUAUAUCAGAUCACUAUAUUCAUAAUAAUGUUAACGUUAGGAGUUUCUUUUCUGUAAGUUUUGAUUUUAAUGUAUCUGUGAUGGACGUUUUGCAGAAGCUCUGUAUGUAGUAAAUUCUUUUGUGGAGCCAGGUUAGAGAUCCACUGUCAAAAUACAACCAAUAUUCUGAGUUAUGCUAUAUCCAUCUGAAUCCUAAAAGCAUAACAUCCUACCCUUUACAGUUAUAUAUAGCAUAAUUAACUUUCAUGAUUCACAGCCCUAAACUAUUAUGAAUUAUAUAUUUUAAUUUUUGCAUGAAAAUUUAUUUUGUUUUCUCUUUAUUGUUACUGUUCCAAUACAGGGUUUCUCUGUGCAUCCCUGGCUACUCUGGAACUCACUCUGGAGAUCAGAUUUGCCUCCAACUCAAAGAUCUACCUGCCUCUACCUGCUGGAGUGCUAAGAUUAAGGGUGUGUGCCAGCACACCCAGCACACACACACACACACACACACACACACACACACACACACUUGUCCUUUUUUAGGAUUCUGCUUACCUGAAGAUCCAAAUGCUUUGAGGAAUCUUUGGUAUAUUGUCCCCAAUUCUAGAAAUUUAAUUUGUAAUCUUUGGUAUAUUGUCCCCAAUUCUAGAAAUUUAAUUUGUACUACAUAUUCUUUUUAGGAGAAUAUAUCUACCAGGUCCACAGGUUAAAUGAGUGAGGAGACCUUGUUAAAGUAGAUGAGAGAAGCUCUAAACUUCAAGCCCUGUCCAGGAGUAAGAAAUUGAAGAAAGGUGCCUCAGUUAUCCUAAGAAAUGAAGCUUCUGGAUGCUCUAGCUCUAUCUUGGAGCUACCCUGAAGUACCAAGUGAGGUCUGCUGCCUGACUCACUGUACAGCACUCUCUCACACUCCCCCGUGCACUGUCCAGACACUGACUCAGUCAACAUCAUCAAAAUUUAAGAAGGUGCUGCACAGCAGCUUUGAGAUCUUGGGUCUUGUCAACCUCUUGACUACCUGAUCAACAUUGACUACCCCAACAUUGGCUUUAGCUCAACAGAAAACUUCAUGCUGAUGACUUUAAGAGUAUAACUUUCUGCUCAUGCCUUUACCCAGUGGAUCUAGCCCAACACAUUAAAACAGACCUUGGGGACUGUCUUGCAGAGGCUGUAUCAUCUACGUCCUGUAGACUUGUCUUGGUCCGUGGAAGUGACUGGAUGGAAACUUGAAAACGUGUUAAUAUGGUCAAGACUUUGGGUAUGACUUCCGGGACAUGGCGAUUUUAGAAUGAUGAGGUCAUUAUUGUCUGAAGCUGGUGAAAAGAGUCCUGGGAAUAAGGCAGUUAGAAUAGACUCUUGAUGAACAAAACUUCUAAAAGUGUUUUAGGAAAGGGAGGUUAUGGGAAGGGAAGAUGGCACACAUUCAACUGUCCUAAAAUAGCAGCUUAAUUACUUUGGGAAAAAAGAUAAGAUGGGGAUGUGUUAGUCACGGUUCUUUUUGGGCUGUUGCAUCAGAGUUACCUGAUGGAUUCCAUGUAUUGUUAAUAUAUGUUGAUUUCUAGACUUUUAAAAGGCAGCCAUUGACUGCAACCUGAAACAUCUGAGUCAAAAUGCAAACUUCACAGCAGUGCAGGACUGGGGUUAUUAACUUGCAGUUAUUUAUUUUGUUGUUGGCAAAGAGUUCCCUGUUCUGUUAAGCUGUCUGCUUUACAGUAGAGCUAUGAAGCUGACAAUCAGUGCAUGCCUUGGGUAUUUUAUCUUGCUUCAAUUUUCAUUGCCAUUUCCACAUAUAAAAACAUGCUUGUAUAUGUACACAAACACACACAUUUGUUGCCAAUUCUUCUGAGCCACAAGGGAGCCUCAAUUAACAUAUUAUUUAACAUAUUUAUUUAUUUUCAGCCAUAUGUCACCACUGUUUUGCCUCCUUGUAUUGUGCCAUUUUCUCACAGGAGUUACUGAUACAGUGAUACAGUGAUGUUUAGAGCUCUCAUAUUGUCCAUUUGCUUAGGUAAUAAAUACUCUAUAGUACAGCAAGACAAUGUGCUGAGUGUUUAAUAUACCUGGACUUUUGAUUCAUCAGAGAAUUCCAUGAAGAAAGCUUUUUCGUUUUACUUUCUAGGAGAGAAAACUGAGAUACAGUUCAAAUGUUAAACACAACACACCUAGUGAGUGAUGGAAGCUCGAUUUGCAGCUGGGCAGACUGGUACCAGAGCAAUGUUGCUGAUUGUCUAGGUUAUCUUAAGUUGUGUUUAUAAAGCUUCUCUUAGAGGGCAGAUCUCUGGCCUGUGCUUUGACCUAGGAAACCCUGGAAAGUUUCCACUUGACUCAUUCCAGUCUCUCACGCAGGGCCAAGAAAGGAUGUUUGGAACUGAAGAGUUCUUGGUGACAUGCUUUUGUCUUAGUUCCAAAUGGACUUCCCUUAGAUACAGUAGAGUUUUUUAAUUCUCUGAUAGUUUUUCCACUAGUACUUAGAUCCUGGCAUUUCCCCAAAUGGAGGCCAUGUUUUCUUUACUAUAAAGAUAUCAUGUGUUCCUCUCUUAAUCAAUUGUAAGAUUAUUUGUUUCUCUAGUGUCAAGUGUAUUAUAAAGUAUGAGGUCUCUCUGUGUGCUUGAUUUUUCUUGGCUAACAUUUAGCAUAAUCACUUACAUACUAAAGGAGGUAAAAAAUUCAUGGUAAAAGCCUUAGGGUACAUAUUUCAACUAGGUUAGAUAGACCCCCUUUGUGGCAGGACUUAUGUUAUUCAGGUCACGACCCAAGUACGGCACCCAGAUUAAUGUCCAUUGGUCCAUGGGGCUCUUUCCAUCACUACUCAUUACUUUCUUGACUAUCCACCGACUCUCCUUUGACUUUCUCUGAAAUUUGCCAAGAUUCCUCACCAUCCUCUCCUCACUUGAAAUUGAUUCACACUCUCCGUAAUCUAUCUUCUGAUCUGGGAGAUGUCUUGGGAUUUGAACUAAUGAUUACAACAAGCUUGUCAACAGAAAGCCAACAGGCAAGGAAGCAAGCAAGCAACAAACAAACAAACAAAACAAAACAACAACACUGUUGUUUUCUCACUUGGCAUGGCAGCAAAUAGCUUCAUGAUAUCCAAAGUAUGAGUAUGGCCACACAAACAAUCCAGGAAAAGAAAGGAAGCAACGUCUUCAAAAAUGAAAGGAGAGUCACAAUGCAGUUGGUGGUGUGUAUCUGGCAAAAUGUUCGUUAUUACUUCUGUAAAAACGGGGGAGACAUGGCUGGGUUAAAUAUAGAGUGUGGGGAAAUGAAGAUUCCUCUAGAUAUGUCCCUCUUCACACACAUCCGAUGUUGACUUGCCACACUAGACGAAAGACCCCCACUCACUACCCGGUCCACAUAUAUACCCCACAUCUCACCUCCCAUCUCCCUUACCCUCCUACCCCAACC